rnacentral:rRNA from 1 species
UACGUAGGGGGCGAGCGUUGUCCGGAUUUAUUGGGCGUAAAGAGCUCGUAGGCGGUUUGGUAAGUCGGGUGUGAAAUCUCCACGCUCAACGUGGAGGGGCCACUCGAUACUGCCAUGACUCGAGUCCGGUAGAGGAGUGUGGAAUUCCCGGUGUAGCGGUGAAAUGCGCAGAUAUCGGGAGGAACACCCGUAGCGAAGGCGGCACUCUGGGCCGAUACUGACGCUGAGGAGCGAAAGCGUGGGGAGCGAACAGG